rnacentral:lncRNA from 1 species
UAAAAAUACAGAUGUAAAUAAAAGAACAUUUUUUUUCAUCUUCAUUUGUUUUACCACUAUACUUCACCCCAUCUAGCCAAUUAGUACACCAGUGUUUCAUACUUACAUGCAAAUACACCAUACGGUGAUAUGACUCUUCAGAAGAGAAAAACAAACGAAUACAUAAUCGAACUCGGAUCUUAAAUCUUUGAAUAGCAGCAGUAUAUAUUUUUUGUUUUGCGGGAACAACAGUUGGCACCCCAACAGGCAACAGCCCAUCACUCCCCUGAAAUAAUAACAGAGGAAAUAACGUGCUGAAUUAACAAACACCUGGAGAUAGUCUCUGAGCUUAGGUAUUUUCAAAAUGAAAAAAAAAUGCUCAAUCAUGCGCGUACCUUCAUCCGUUACAUACAGUACACUGGGACGCACCUGAUAACUCAGUCUCAGCUUCCCCUUCAAAAAACAUACUGUAUUUGUUAACUCCUUGGUGGAUUUCUUCCAAAUUUUCCAUGCAAGAACAGCCACAUAUUUGCUAACUAAUGACACGAAAAGAAAAGGACGUGCUACACCUACAGUGUCACACACUAACCAACCGUGUUCCCUUUUUCCAACGGAAGCCAAUAUCCUUCUUCAUCGGUCUUUCCAGGAAAUUGCCAGCCACUGGUUCCUUCGCUUGGUUCACAUAAGGAAGCAAGAUUUUAUGCGUAACUACGAGGAAUAGACAGAAUGUUCCCUCUGGAGACUUGG